rnacentral:rRNA from 1 species
AACGAACGCUGGCGGCAUGCCUUACACAUGCAAGUCGAACGAAGUCUUCGGACUUAGUGGCGCACGGGUGCGUAACGCGUGGGAAUCUGCCCUUGGGUACGGAAUAACUCAGAGAAAUUUGUGCUAAUACCGUAUAAUGUCUUCGGACCAAAGAUUUAUCGCCCAAGGAUGAGCCCGCGUAAGAUUAGCUAGUUGGUGGGGUAAAAGCCUACCAAGGCGACGAUCUUUAGCUGGUCUGAGAGGAUGAUCAGCCACACUGGGACUGAGACACGGCCCAGACUCCUACGGGAGGCAGCAGUGGGGAAUAUUGGACAAUGGGCGAAAGCCUGAUCUAGCAAUGCCGCGUGAGUGAUGAAGGCCUUAGGGUUGUAAAGCUCUUUUACCCGGGAUGAUAAUGACAGUACCGGGAGGAAUAAGCUCCGGCUAACUCCGUGCCAGCAGCCGCGGUAAU